UAAACGUUGAUCACUCGUUGUUGGCUAUACACCGUCAGCGACCUAGCUAAUGCGCUAAGUGAUCCACCUGGGGAGUACGAUCGCAAGGUUGAAACUCAAAGGAAUUGACGGGGGCCCGCACAAGCGGAGGAGCAUGUGGUUUAAUUCGAUGAUACGCGAGGAACCUUACCUGGGCUUAAAUGUAGUGUGCAUUCCCGUGAAAACGGGAUUUCCUUCGGGACUCAUUACAAGGUGCUGCAUGGUUGUCGUCAGCUCGUGCCGUGAGGUGUCGGGUUAAGUCCCAUAACGAGCGCAACCCCUAUCUUUAGUUGCUAACAGAUUAUGCUGAGGACUUUAAAGAAACUGCCCGCGCAAGCGGUGAGGAAGGUGGGGAUGACGUCAAAUCAGCACGGCCAUUAUGUCCAGGGCUACACACGUGCUACAAUGGCAGGUACAGUGGGCAGCUAUCACGCAAGUGAAUGCUAAUCUCCAAACCCUGUCUCAGUCCGGAUCGGAGUCUGCAACCCGACUCCGUGAAGCUGGAUUCGCUAGUAUCGCACAUCAGCCAUGUGCGGGAUACGUUCCCGGGCCUGACACACCGCCCGUCAAGCCAUG
rnacentral:rRNA from 1 species